rnacentral:misc_RNA from 1 species
GCAUAUGGAAAAAGAACAUCGGUCACAAACGAGAUUGGAGUAGUAGUUCCUUCUAUAUCAAGAACAAUGCAAUGCUUUGAAGAUGCUUCUUUGUUGCAUCCACCUACUACAACUUCUUUGACUUUCUUAAUGGGACCAUGAUUUGGAGUAGACCAGUCUAGGCCCAACUGAUAAAGCUUGAUGGCCGCAUCAAAGAGAUAGUGGUA